UCUAUGAAAUUUUGUAACUUUGUUCCAAACUUUUUGUUCUUCAUUCUCAUCAAGAUUAAGGAAUUUUGUUCUUCAAUUAUCUCAUCAGAAAUGUGUAUUUGAAAUUAUUGGGUAAACCCGAAGGUAACCGGAACAAACUUAGAUACUUUCAAGUGUUCGAUCGUUUGGUAAAUUGUUUACUUGAAAUGAAAAUUAAACCGAGGAAACAAGUUCAAUUAUCCGAGUCAGAAAUUAGGCAGGUUUGUGUUGUUUCUAAAGAGAUUUUUUUGGAGUAACCUGUUCAUUUGGAGCUUGAAGCCCCAAUGAAAUUUGUGAUUCGACGGUGUCAGGUAUAAUUUUGCAUGACUAGCAGCUUCUCCAUACCUUGAAAAGGGCCAGCAACGAUUUUUCUUUGAGAAAUAUGAUUCCGAAGAAUAAACUAACAACAUUCAUCGACAUGGGUUAAGAGUGGACUUACCAUAGGUGUCGUGGGAAAUAACUUAAUGAUUAGUUACAUAUAAGCAAUAGAAUGAUGGACAUUAUAGUCUGCAGCAUGCUCGGUCCAAACGUAAACAUUAGUGAUUAGUCACUUCGUGCAGAAGGGUUCAACCCCAUUUUAAAAAUUCUAUAAAGCAAUGCUAAAUUUAGAGCUUGGAUUGCAGCAAUUAAUGAAGCUGGGUUAAGGCCUCCUGAAGGUGGGUGCCAUCCUCAUCGUUUUGGUUCUUUUGCUCCAUCAAGAGGGUUGAUUGAAGAUGAAAGUCAGGCUCAAUGGUUUGUUGAUGGACAAGCAGCAUUUCAAUACAGGAUGGUGGCUGUGCCCAGAACUGUAACUAAGGCGUCCUGUUAGUAGACAAGAGUCCUCUAGGCUUGAUGAGAUAAUUGAAGCAAAAGACAAAGAAGGAGUCCAGGUGCUUUCCCCCUCAUUCCUAGAACUCCCUUUUAUCGUUGAUGUUUUAUUUGUUUUCAAGGUUUGGCAGUAAUGCUAUCCAGUAAUGCUAUCCCUUGACGUGCUUGCUAGAAAAGGAAUGAAUAAGAAAUUGUGCCUAUUUCCUUUAUUCUCAUAUGAAAAACUUAAACAAUCUCUCUCUUUCUCUGGGAUAGCAAAGCUGUGUCCGUAAUUUUUUACUUGAUGACCUAUAUGACUGGAUUUUGGCUCUGGCAUUAAAAUGAGAAAAAGAAGUAGCUUAUAUGACUGGAGUUUGGCUCUGGUGAUUUUGUUACUACAGAAUGUGAUGGGAUUGGUAUUAGUUGUUGUGAUUAGAGCUCUGGAGUGGGCAGUGAGUGAAAAGCCAUUGGCAGAGGGGUUUAAAUGUUUAAUUCAUCUGACUCAAUAUCUGUCAUUCUAGCUUUCAACAAUAUAUGUCAUUCUAGCUUUAUAAAACAAUAAAAUUCCUUAGGAUACUAUGGAAUAAAUGGAAUGUUUG